AUGGCGCCUUCCGCCGCCGGCGAAACCCCACCUCCGGAGCCCCGGUGGCUCGCGGCCCUCUCCGAGCCAGAGCUCGAUCUCCUCGUCAGCCUGAAGCUGCUGGCCGUGAAGCUGGCGGAGACGGCCGGUCGCCCCCACCUCGCCGCCGGGUUCGAUCUGCGCACGCUGCGUGCCCUCAGUGUUGUUUUGCUGGAGGAUUUCAAAUCACGGUCAGAAGAAACCUCAGUCGAUGCAUCCGUAUCCGUUCUUGAUAGACUCGCGCUGUCGAGGGAAUGUGCCACGGAUGGUGGCGGCGGCAGCACUAGUGAUUCUGAGGUGUUCAGGCGGGGCGGCAAAGAUGAGGCAAAGCCGAAUAGCGUCAAGAGAAAACGGAAGCAGAUGCAGGAUGGGCGCCAUGGAGAGACCGUGCAAAGCAAGAAGAAAAGGAAACUGGGUGAGAGGCGAUAG
rnacentral:rRNA from 1 species